AAGUCGUAACAAGGUUUCCGUAGGUGAACCUGCGGAAGGAUCAUUACCGAAUUGUCAACACGAGUUGUUGCUGGUCCUCAAACGGGGGCAUGUGCACGCUCUGUUUACACAUCCACUCACACCUGUGCACCCUCUGUAGUUCUAUGGCCUGGGGGACUCUGUCCUCUUUGCUGUGGUUCUAUGUCUUUACACACACACUGUAAUAAAGUUUCAUGGAAUGUGUGACGCGUUUAACGCAAUACAAUACAACUUUCAGCAACGGAUCUCUUGGCUCUC
rnacentral:misc_RNA from 1 species